rnacentral:rRNA from 1 species
UACGUAGGGUGCAAGCGUUGUCCGGAAUUAUUGGGCGUAAAGAGCGUGUAGGCGGCCCGAUUAGUCCGCUGUGAAAGUCCAGGGCUCAACCCUGGAAUGCCGGUGGAUACUGUCGGGCUAGAGUCCGGAAGAGGCGAGUGGAAUUCCUGGUGUAGCGGUGAAAUGCGCAGAUAUCAGGAGGAACACCGAUGGCGAAGGCAGCUCGCUGGGACGGUACUGACGCUGAGGCGCGAAAGCGUGGGGAGCAAACAGG